rnacentral:tRNA from 1 species
AAAGGGAGACCUAAUUCGGGUAGGAGACGAAAAAAAAGUAGUCCCUACCAAGAAUCAAUCCCAAAAGGUCGGAACGAGGUAUGUGGCUUUCAAACUAGGUUCUGGGUUCAUAAAAGACCUGAAUCAGGAACAAGGGCUAUUAGCUCAGGUGGUUAGAGCGCACCCCUGAUAAGGGUGAGGUCCCUGGUUCGAGUCCAGGAUGGCCCACCUGCACAGGUGGCAAAAACAAGAGAAACGAGGAAUCAGCACCUUAUCUUACUCAUAUAGUAGGAGAGAAUGCUGGCUCUGAGUACAGAGUCCAGAGGAACCUUGAAAACUGCAUAGAGCUAGGUGAAAAAGCCAAAAAAGAAGACCGCAAG